AAGGUAGGAGUGGAAGCUCAAUAAUCUGGAACUGGGUUCAUCCCUGUUGGAUGGUCAGGAACUCUAGCCUGCCACCACAACAGGAUAGAGGCAGGCAGUAUAAUUUACCUCACAUUGCACUCUGGAUCAGCCUUAGAUUUUCUUGCCUGUGAAGAUGUGCCCUUUGAGAAGCUAUGUCAUGUAAAAGAAGGAGCAAGCUCAUUUCCUUGUUUUUCAGAGUUUAGCACACGAGCCAAUAAAUUCCAAUUACAAAGAGAGAGAGAGAGUCCCCUUCAACACUGUCAUAUAAUCCAUAAUCCAGAUCAUCUGCUUUGAACUGAAUUAUAUUAUAUUACAUAUAAUCCAGUUCAAAGCAGAUAAUGUGGAUUAUUUGCUUUGACAAUCUUGAUUAUAUGGCAGUGUAGAAGGAGCCAGAGAUUACAUCUAAACAUUAGGAAGAACAUCCUAAAUCUAUUUUAGUCCUGCCUAGGGUGGAGCCAUUCAAUCUAUUAGGUUUAUCAAUGUGUUGACUCACCAAUAAAAUGGUGAGUCUACUUUUAAUGGGUUUAAUCAACAGGAUGGCAGUAAACUUCUUAGAUAAGGGGGUGUGAUAAUCUGGGGUGAAACAUCCACAAUUUCAGAUAUAUGGAGGACAUCAUAUUAUUUCUAGAAAAUAGCAAAGACUUGGGAUUACUAUUGAUGAAGAAAGUGAAAAGGCUGGGUUCCAGUUGAAUAUUUAAAAUAAAGUAAAACUAAAUAAAUUUUACAUAACUUUGAAGUAGAUAACAAAAUGGUUAAAGAAAAAAAGACAACUAGGAUUUAGAAAGUCAUCUGUGAAGGAACUAAAUAAAAUUCUCAAAUGUAAAAAAUAUCAUUAAAACCAAUAAGUAUAAGUCAUGCCAUAAUAAAUCAGUGUUAUGGUUGAGCCUCAUGGCUCUACUACUGGGAGACGUGGGCGUAAGACUCCUCGAGAGUCAGAUACUCUCGAGGAGCGAGAAAGGAAGCGGCUGCGAGAUAUCUUUGCAGAACCAUCUGACGAAGAUUCUUUUGAGGGGUUUACUGAGAGAAUGGAGGAAGAGGUGGUUAGCUCAGAAGAAGAUGAUAUGGAAUGGACUCGGGUAAGAGAGGAUUUGGGUGCCACUGGCAAUGAUACUAUGGAAGACGAUUGGGGACCUUCAGGAUUAGACCCGUGGACAAGCUGGAGGGAUGGGACGGGAUCCACAGCUGGGGAUGCUGUGGGGCGUAGUCAGAGGUGUUCCAGUUCUGAUGAGGAAAGUGAUGAGGAAACGCCCGGGCUAAGGAGAACAGCUGAUAGCGAUGAGGACUUGUAACUGGCAUAAAAUGGGGUUUGGGAGCAAUAGCAAAUUGCGUUGGGCAAGGUAAUCUGGACGAACGCUUGGGAUCUGUGUGGGAAGUUUUCCUGAAGACGGGUGUGAUUCGUUUGCUGACUACCUUUGACCUUCCGUCGUCUUCUUGACGGACGCCAUCUGCUACUCUGGAUUUACGGACUGAACUGACUACGGCCUCGGAUUCUCCUACCUGUGUCUGUCGUUGGAACUGGUGAACUACAAACGUCUGCAUCUGCCUUACGACCUUCGGAACGGACUGGAACUACGCUGACUGCUUCAACCCUCGUCUGCUGUGUUUGUAUUGGGAAUUUGCCUGCUGUGUGGAGGAGUACCUCUAAGUUACUCAAACAUAGUUUUUGGCAGCAGAGAAGCAUCUGCUGCCAAUUAGUUGCAUUCUUUUGAACCUUUUGUUCACCAGCUUCUGUUUGUUUAAUCCCAGGCUGAAGCAAGCUGUUUUGAUUUAGUCCGAAUUAAACUCCGGUUUAAUUCGGUUUAUCUUUUGAACGUUUUUCUUGUCUCUUUUUUACUUUUAAGGCCAGUGUUUGCCUAGCCCUUGUCUUUUACGGGCAUUUUUGGUUCUGUAACUCCAAUAAACUCUGUUAUCUUUUA